rnacentral:rRNA from 1 species
GACGAACGCUGGCGGCGUGCCUAAUACAUGCAAGUCGAACGCUUCUUUUUCCACCGGAGCUUGCUCCACCGGAAAAAGAGGAGUGGCGAACGGGUGAGUAACACGUGGGUAACCUGCCCAUCAGAAGGGGAUAACACUUGGAAACAGGUGCUAAUACCGUAUAACAAUCGAAACCGCAUGGUUUUGAUUUGAAAGGCGCUUUCGGGUGUCGCUGAUGGAUGGACCCGCGGUGCAUUAGCUAGUUGGUGAGGUAACGGCUCACCAAGGCCACGAUGCAUAGCCGACCUGAGAGGGUGAUCGGCCACAUUGGGACGGAGAAACGGCCCAAACUCCUACGGGAGGCAGCAGUAGGGAAUCUUCGGCAAUGGACGAAAGUCUGACCGAGCAACGCCGCGUGAGUGAAGAAGGUUUUCGGAUCGUAAAACUCUGUUGUUAGAGAAGAACAAGGAUGAGAGUAACUGUUCAUCCCUUGACGGUAUCUAACCAGAAAGCCACGGCUAACUACGUGCCAGCCGCCGCCGUAA